rnacentral:rRNA from 1 species
GACGAACGCUGGCGGCGUGCCUAAUACAUGCAAGUUGAGCGCUGAAGGUUGGUACUUGUACCAACUGGAUGAGCAGCGAACGGGUGAGUAACGCGUGGGGAAUCUGCCUUUGAGCGGGGGACAACAUUUGGAAACGAAUGCUAAUACCGCAUAAAAACUUUAAACACAAGUUUUAAGUUUGAAAGAUGCAAUUGCAUCACCCAAAGAUGAUCCCGCGUUGUAUUAGCUAGUUGGUGAGGUAAAGGCUCACCAAGCCGAUGAUACAUAGCCGACCUGAGAGGGUGAUCGGCCACAUUGGGACUGAGACACGGCCCAAACUCCUACGGGAGGCAGCAGUAGGGAAUCUUCGGCAAUGGACGAAAGUCUGACCGAGCAACGCCGCGAGAGUGAAGAAGGUUUUCGGAUCGUAAAACUCUGUUGGUAGAGAAGAACGUUGGUGAGAGUGGAAAGCUCAUCAAGUGACGGUAACUACCCAGAAAGGGACGGCUAACUACGUG